GACGAACCGUGCGAACGUUAUUCGGAAUCACUGGGCUUAAAGCGCGUGUAGGCGGGUCGGUGCGUCGGCCGCUGAAAUCCCCCGGCUCAACCGGGGAAGGGGCGCCGAUACGACCGGCCUGGAGCGACGUAGGGGGAACUGGAACUUCCGGUGGAGCGGUGAAAUGCGUUGAGAUCGGAAGGAACGCCCGUGGCGAAAGCGGCCAGCUGGGCCGACCCUGACACUGAGGCGCGAAGGCGUGGGGAGCGAACGGG
rnacentral:rRNA from 1 species